rnacentral:rRNA from 1 species
UACGUAGGGGGCCAGCGUUGUCCGGAAUCAUUGGGCGUAAAGCGCGCGUAGGCGGUCAGGUAGGUCCGCUGUGAAAGUCCGAGGCUCAACCUCGGAAUGUCGGCGGAAACCCUCUGGCUAGAGUCCGGAAGAGGAGAGUGGAAUUCCCGGUGUAGCGGUGAAAUGCGCAGAUAUCGGGAAGAACACCCGUGGCGAAGGCGGCUCUCUGGAACGGUACUGACGCUGAGACGCGAAAGCGUGGGGAGCGAACAGG